AACUGAGGUAGGCGGUCCAGUUCUGCAUAGCUAUAACUGAAGUAGGCGGUCCAGUUCUGCAAAGCUAUCAAACUGAGGUAGGCAGUCCAGUUCUGCAUAGCUAUCAAACUGAAGUAGGCGGU